rnacentral:piRNA from 1 species
AUGAAGGAAAAAGAACCAGUUCC